rnacentral:rRNA from 1 species
UACAGAGGUGGCAAGCGUUGUUCGGAAUUACUGGGCGUAAAGGGCGCGUAGGCGGCCUUCUAAGUCGGACGUGAAAGCCCCAGGCUUAACCUGGGAACUGCGUCCGAUACUGGGAGGCUUGGAUUCGGGAGAGGGAUGUGGAAUUCCAGGUGUAGCGGUGAAAUUCGUAGAUAUUCGCAAGAACACCAGUGGCGAAGGCGGCUUACUGGUCCGGUUCUGACGCUGAGGCGCGAAAGCGUGGGGAGCAAACAGG